CAAAAGUGAGGAGUCCCUAGCUGUCAUCUUCACAGAUGGACCAGUUGCAGAUUCCACAAGCACCAAAAUGUCAAUAUCAAGAAAAAUUGAUAUCAGAGCACAACUACUCAGCAUCCUGCACAUUUAACUGUACUCAAGAAAUGCAGCGCCUCUCAACAGAAAUACAACUGGAAAAGGAAUUGCUUGCCCUAAAAAUAGAGUCUAGUAAAAGGAAGCCAAUAUCAAUCCACGAUAUUAAAUACAACGAAGAGAAGUCACCAAUAUAUCCAAAUAUCAUCACCGGCCCAGACGUCAUUCACUCCUUUGAAUUGUGCUGGUAGCAGUAAGGUGUCAUCAUUUGAGAUGGUCACAGUAUCCAAUGCACUGAAGUCACAGGACUCAAAUUUCAUACAUGUUCACAGGGUCUCUGCCAAAAUCUUUUGAGGAUUUUUCCUCUGCUAGAGCAUCCAUGGAUGCAAAUGAAACAACCCAGGACAUCCCAACACAUAUGGAUAAUCAGGCCAUGGCCUACAGUAUGUACAAAAGUUGCCAUACUUUUAAAGCAGUAACUUGCGUGCCUCCAAAUGGUGCACUUACAUUUUGCUCCAUGCUGUACCCAGGUUCUACUUCUGAUGUAGCUAUUGUACGUCACUGCCAAGUUUUACGAAAGUUCAAAGCUGGAGACCUUAUUUUGGUGGUCAAAGGUUUCACCAUUCAUGACCAGUUGCCCCAGGGUGUCUGCUUAAUUAUAAAAGCUCUUUUAUCGACACGAGGCCAGUUUACCAUACAAGAAGCAGCACUGUUACAAGAUUGCUAAAGCACUUAUUCAUGUGGAAAGAGCCAACGAGAGGAUAAAGAAUUACGAGAUUCUCCGUCACAUACCAUCUACUUACAGACCAAUCUCAACAAAAAUAUUUCAACUCUGUUCUUGUCUUGUAAACUUGCAAGCUCCACUUUUGAAAGAAAUUACUUAAAGAUACAUGUACUUAUUAUAAAUUUGCAUUGGCGUGUGACAGUAUACACUAAACAGUGAAGAUAUUCAUACCAAAGUGCAAGGGAUAAGCAAAUUUUGAUUUGUUAUCAAUGUCAAUGGUUAUAUUUGUUAACUUUGUAGUAUGUUGUAAUACAUGUACUUCAGAAAAUGAAAA